rnacentral:sRNA from 1 species
GUCAGCAGUACAUUAGACUUAAGCUUUGCAUUCCUUGUGUUUUUUUGUUUGUUUUUCUCUUCCUGGAAAAAAGUUUGCUUCUCUCAUACCAUCUGACUUACUUCCAGGCUUUUCUCCCUUGUGGAACGAGUGCCGUUGAGCACUGCUGCACUCUCAGACGGGCUCCUCCGAAGUGCUGCAGGUAGUGGUAAAUAGACUCUUACCCCAUUGGGAUUGCUUCUUUGUUUCUCACCCCCAGUUAGUUCAUUUGUUGCUCUGGCUACAGGAGGAACGAGUGAGGUUCUGGUUGGCAUCUGCUAUGCCAUGUCACCCCAGCUUCUAGUGCCUCCUGUGUGUGCCCAUGAUUGUGAGUGUGGGCCAUGUGUGUGAGGCCGCAGGUCUCCCUGCAGCCACUCUCCUGCUGGAGCUCUGUUACUGGCACCCGUCGCUGCCUGCACCGAAGGCUGGCAGCACCUCCUGGAGCUUGGGACCCAGAGCACAGCCUCCCACCAUGAGAUGUGUUGUUUUUCUGUGGAUCAGUCCUCCUUUCUUUCUGAGCCUGGCGUGUUUUGUUCUAGUUUGUUACCGUCCUAAGUGCCUGUAGGCCCUGCUCUCCAGGGACGAGACUCGGGCUCUACCCCCAACUCAGAACCCAGAGCAACAGUGGUCGGGCCUGGGCCCACAACAGUGCUCAGCUGCCCUGCUGCCUUUGUAGUUCAAGAAGUGUCCAUUGAUGAGGGGAAUGGUCCUGGCUCAUGCUGGAGUUCCUGACUCGCAUCCCUGUGGAGGUGAACUUCCUCGUCAGGGCGGAGGCCUGCCAAGCAGUCCCCCCAGGCUUCUGUUGCUCACCUUUGCCCAUUUUUAUUAUGAAAGAAAACCAGUUCCUCGAUAGAUACCAGGACCAUCAGCCUCAGGCCUGGAGGAGGAGAGGAGGAUGAUUUGGGUUCAGGCUGUAAGAGGUGUGCCACUGAGAAGGAAGGAUGCUGUGAGCAGGCUUAACUGAGCUCAUGGUUCAGUAGGAGUCGAGUGUUCUCAUCACAGGCUUUGGUGGAAUGUACUCUUGACGUCUGUCCCCAGGAGCCUGGUCUCCAGAAACACCAGCUCAGGCCCUCAAGGUCUGGCUCUGAUGUCUGUGGGCUAUAGGAUUCUGAUCUGUUAGCGAGGUGUGUUCAGAAGUGUGUUGAGGACACCAGUGCAGGAGAGCAGCCAGUAGAAUAGAAAGGUCUGGAAGCAGCAUUCUUGGCAAAUCUUCUAUAUUCCCAAUGCCCAGACAGACCUGGAAGUGCUGUGGGCUUGAACAUGUGGGUGGCCUCCCCUCCCAGGCUGCCCUGAGCUGCCCAAGGUUUCCUCGCCCUGGUGCUCCUUCUUGCAGAGGCUACACGUGCCCUCUCCACCUGCCCAGGCACUGAGUUUCUUUGUUGCGAUCACCUUGUCUGUUGUCCCUCUGUCCUCAAAGAUGAUCACGGAAGCCUUGGCCCAAGGUGGGAUGCACAUAAGAGCCCGGUUCCCGCCCACCACCGCUGUGUCCACCGUCCCGUCAAGCUCCAUCCCUUUGGGCAGACAGCCCAUGGCACAGGUCAGCCAGAGCAGCCUCCCCAUGCUGUCCUCGCCGUCACCGGGCCAGCAGGUGCAGACCCCGCAGUCGAUGCCCCCACCCCCCCAGCCGUCCCCGCAGCCCGGCCAGCCCAGCUCACAGCCCAACUCCAACGUCAGCUCUGGCCCUGCCCCGUCCCCCAGUAGCUUCCUGCCUAGCCCCUCACCGCAGCCCUCCCAGAGCCCAGUGACGGCGCGGACCCCACAGAACUUCAGUGUCCCCUCACCUGGACCUUUAAACACACCUGUGAACCCCAGCUCUGUCAUGAGCCCAGCUGGCUCCAGCCAGGCUGAGGAACAGCAGUACCUGGACAAGCUGAAGCAACUGUCCAAGUACAUCGAGCCCCUACGCCGCAUGAUCAACAAGAUCGACAAGAACGAAGGUAGGCUGCAGCCAGGGCACGAGCCUGCACCCUGGGGACACCGCCGGGCUUGUGUCUUAGUGUACCCUCUUCUGUCCCAGACAGAAAAAAGGACCUGAGUAAGAUGAAGAGCCUUCUGGACAUUCUGACAGACCCCUCGAAGCGGUGUCCCCUGAAGACCUUGCAAAAGUGUGAGAUCGCCCUGGAGAAACUCAAGAAUGACAUGGCGGUGCCCACUCCCCCACCGCCCCCGGUGCCACCGACCAAACAGCAGUACCUAUGCCAGCCGCUCCUGGAUGCCGUCCUGGCCAACAUCCGCUCACCUGUCUUCAACCAUUCCCUGUACCGCACAUUCGUUCCAGCCAUGACCGCCAUUCACGGCCCACCCAUCACGGCCCCAGUGGUGUGCACCCGGAAGCGCAGGCUUGAGGAUGAUGAGCGGCAGAGCAUCCCCAGUGUGCUCCAGGGCGAGGUGGCCAGGCUGGACCCCAAGUUCCUGGUAAACCUGGACCCUUCUCACUGCAGCAACAAUGGCACUGUCCACCUGAUCUGCAAGCUGGAUGACAAGGACCUCCCGAGUGUGCCACCACUGGAGCUCAGUGUGCCCGCUGACUAUCCUGCCCAAAGCCCACUGUGGAUCGACCGGCAGUGGCAGUACGACGCCAACCCCUUCCUCCAGUCGGUGCACCGCUGCAUGACCUCCAGGCUGCUGCAGCUCCCAGACAAGCACUCGGUCACCGCCUUGCUCAACACUUGGGCCCAGAGCGUCCACCAGGCCUGCCUCUCAGCCGCCUAGCCAAGACUGCAGGGAUGGCCCGCAGCCUCAUCGGGGCCAAGGACACACGCCUCGUGUCAGGCACUUCUAGGUGUUGGCUUCCUUAGAGAGCCUGGGUUUAGGUUAGCUUUCCUGCUUUUAUCUUCUGCCUUGGGGACCUGCCAAACGAAAUCCCACACCUGUACAGAACUGGGAUAGGCGCAGUGGAGCGGGCUGCUUGGGGGGUGUUGGCCGACUUCUUACAGAAGGCCCUCCAUGUGACUUCCUCCAAGGAGCCAGAUGCGAUCCUUGGGCUGCUCUCACUGUGGCCUGUCCACGGUCCAGGUCCAUCUCAGCAGCGUGAGGGUGCACUCAGGGUGUUGUUAGAGCGUCUCGUGUGUGCUAGACACACCCCUACUCGUUCCUAUAGGAGAACACAGAGGACAUAGGAAACCCUUAAAACACACAUGGGAUUCUCUGGUCACAGUUUUGGGUUCAGGCUACGCUGCUUUGGGCAGGUAGGGCACCCUCUGGGGAAGCCCCCAAGUCCAGGGCACAGGCUGCCUUUUGGAGGGAGGGCU